rnacentral:misc_RNA from 1 species
UCUACACAACUCUUUCUGCUCCCAUAAGCUCUACUGCUACUCCAUCAUCAUCCACAUUCGCCACCAGGCUCGCCUUAAGGCCCGGGCCCAGUCUGUUAUCCGGUCUGCUCUUGCCUCACCCGUGUUGUUUGAUCAGAGUGAUGCACCGGUGAAAUUCUUUGAAGUGCUAGUGAAAACGUAUGUGGAAUGCGAUUCUGCUCCGUUUGCGUUUGUUAUGUUGAUAAAAUCUCGUCUUGAGUUGCAAAUGAUUGAUGGAUCAAUCGAGAUUGUGAGAAUGUUGACGCUCGUGGGAUUUCCACAGAAAUUGAUUCUUGUAAUUCGUCGAUUUUGUUGGGUUUCAAGGUGUAAAGGGUCAUUUGCUGUUUAUGUCUUGAUAGCUGUUUGUGCGGAAGGGAAGAAGUCAUGGGAGGAAAUGAAAGCAAGGAGAAUAAAGCCUGAUGUUGUGGCUUCUGAUACUGUAAUUGCUGGUUUUGGCAAGACUGGGGAGAAAGCUGAGGAGAUUUUGAGAGAAAUGGAAUUGAGUGGAGUAGAAAGUACUUGCAUGAUUACUUUUGAGCACCUAAUCAAUGGCUACU